rnacentral:tRNA from 1 species
GGGGGGUUAGUUAAGUGGUAUAACUACGGUCUCCAAAACCGUCGUCGGGAGUCCGAUUCUUCCACCCCCCG